rnacentral:rRNA from 1 species
GACGAACGCUGGCGGCGUGCUUAACACAUGCAAGUCGAACGGAAAGGCCCUGCUUUUGUGGGGUGCUCGAGUGGCGAACGGGUGAGUAACACGUGAGUAACCUGCCCUUGACUUUGGGAUAACUUCAGGAAACUGGGGCUAAUACCGGAUAGGAGCUCCUGCUGCAUGGUGGGGGUUGGAAAGUUUCGGCGGUUGGGGAUGGACUCGCGGCUUAUCAGCUUGUUGGUGUGGUAGUGGCUUACCAAGGCUUUGACGGGUAGCCGGCCUGAGAGGGUGACCGGCCACAUUGGGACUGCGAUACGGCCCAGACUCCUACGGGAGGCAGCAGUGGGGAAUCUUGCACAAUGGGCGGAAGCCUGAUGCAGCAACGCCGCGUGCGGGAUGACGGCCUUCGGGUUGUAAACCGCUAUCGCCUGUGACGAAGCGUGAGUGACGGUAAUGGGUAAAGAAGCACCGGCUAACUACGUG